UCGGCCCCUUAACCCAGCCACCCAGUCACCCUGGUAACACAUCUGUCUUAAUAAAGUUCACUCCGAAUCUACUCUCUAUCAAGAAGCUUUGAAGGAAUGGAGGAGAAAAGGAUGGAUAUCUCUUCCCUUUCCCAAGAAGAUGACUGACAAACUAAAGCAGUUUUCAUGCAUAGAUUCACCGAAGGUGAAAAAAAUAAAAAGAAAUCUGUAUUUGUCUCAUUAAAACGUGAGCUCCUAGGGAUCUGAGGAUGAGUUUGAUAAGCCCUCUAACAUGCCUAGUUGAUGACCCCUGCGUCCCAUCUGCAAUCUGCGUGCAUCCUUCUGUGUAUGCCCAAAGUUUCCUACCGUAAGCACAUGUGACUCUAUCUGAGGGCCUUCUAGAGCAUUCUUGGCAUGCACAUGGGGGAGACCAGAGGGGCCACACAGUGGAUAGUUUGUGAGCGGUCCUCAGCAGUGACAGACAGUAGUUAGUGGAUAGAUAUUGCAGCUCCUUGGCCAGUGGGUGGAACAUUUCUAAGAUAUGUUCCAUACUGUGUCCACUACAGAGGUCCCCAGUGGAACUGAACCAAUUUAUGCCCAACACAGUUAACUUGAUCAUAAAGGUACACUAAACUUGUUGGCUUCCUUCCUCUCUUUCCUUUGUCACUUCUCAGGAUCAUCUCCUAAAUAAACACUCGGAAUCACCUUCCAAAUAAAUUACUUGCACAAAAAUCCUGGUUGAACCUCUUGGGUUACAGCAGAGGAGGCAAAAUGGCUUGCUGAAUUAUACAAGUUCGUGGCUGACAGGACACUGCUAUUUCAGUCUUCAUGAUCUGACAUUCCAUGCGGGCUUAAAGAAAAAACAAAAACAGGAUUGGAGAGCACCCUUCACAACAGCCAAAAGGUGAAAGUAAUGCAAAUAUCCAUCAAGGUAUGAGUGGAUAAACUGGAAUAUUCCACACAAUGGAAUAUUACCCAGGCCUAAAAAGGAGAAGUGCAAUUGACCCUUGAACCACUGGGGUUAGGAGCCCCGCCCUCUACCCCUCCCAGGUGAAAAUCCGGGUAUAACUUUCGACCUACGUUUUUUUUUAAUCCACCAAUAGGCGGGCUGGGACUGGGGCGACGGGUUAGGCCGGGAAAGCAGGGUUGGCCGGCCCCCCCCUUCCCUCGCGCCCUGGUGGGCCUGCAGGCGCUGUACAGCUGCCCCAUCUACCUGGAGGUGCAGCACCAGUUGAUGAGCGUCCGGGAGCUGCGGCGACACUGGCACAAAACAAAAUUACGACACCUCUUGAAACGGAAGGCGUCUUCGAUUAGAUAAAAUGCGACAUCCCCGUGAAACUGAGGCUCAGAAAACUGAUUUGUUCAAGGCCACACAACCUGCCCGAACACACCGAGAGGCCGACAUGUUUUCAGAUAUGCAAAUACGUCUCCCAACAGUGAAAUAUUUGACAACUGAGAUAUGAAGUGAUUGUUUAAUUCUUAAUUCCUGGUUGAUUUAUGCAAAAUAUGAACGGAAAGACGUGGAGCGACAGGCACUCUCUUCCUCCCAAUUUGCCAAAAAAGAAAGGCAUCUGAAGGGAUUAAAAAUAGACGUAUCCAGUGGAGGCAACAUUUUGGAAUGUGUCGGAUGCCAGCUGGGGGAGUUGAAGUGAAAUCUCAGAAUCUGCUAUGCACUCGAAUUUCAGUGAGGAGUACAUAUGUUUGGCAUUAAAAACCUAUUGGAAAAGUCAUUGUUUUCUGAAUAUCUUUAAUAUACUUUUCUGUGUUGCAUCUAGCACCCAAAGAACUCCUUCUGGGUAUUUUUACUGAAAUGCCAGCACCGGAUUUACAAAUUAUGGGGCCCAGGGCAAAAGCAAAAGUGGGGGCUCCCCUGACGCCCGAUAGCUGGCAACCUAUCGACUAAUUGCUGCCAGGACGAAAUAUCACUGGAUAAUGUGUAUUUGCACCACCUCUGAGGACCCUGUAUUUCAUUCUGUUCAAGAAGGAUUACCACUUGCUACAUUGGCCCUUGGGAGCCCUGUGGUCCCAUGGCCCAUUCCUACCUUAUCCUCCAGACCGCACCCGGAAGGGGGGCGGUGAACGUGGACCUUUGUAAAUGAGGACGAAAAAAUGCGGUGUUUAUGACCCUCUCUUGCUCUUUCUUUCUUUGCUUUGGUAUAAGAGGUGCGGUCGUGGGGGAAGUAGAGUCGCCUCCAGGAGUAUUCUUAGUGAAUUUCCCCCGCUGGAUUCUAGGAUGUGGCCCAAGCUCCCUCCGUGACUAAUGCUUUCCAUUUAUUCAUGCUUCAUGUCACAGCGGGCAGGGCUGCUGCAGGACAGGUCGGAAUUACGGAAUUAUUAAUCCCGUUUUACAAAGGAGGAAGCUGAAGCUCUGGGGAUUUGGCACUUUGUUAGUGGUGGAGAUUGCCGGAGACUAACCCAGUUUUAGGGCUGAGAAUUCAGCGACUGAUUUCAGCACUCUGUCGCACAGUCUUGAUGCUUUUUCAUUGAAAGAGGCCGCGUGUGUGCGUUCAGCAGAACAACCUGGGGGUGUAUCUGUAAGCCCUGCAGACAACUGGGGUUCCCAAGCCAUCUGGAAGAUUUUAACUUCUCUAGCCUUUGCGGGGAGGCCUUGUUUUAUUUAAAUAUAUAUUUGUAAUGUUUAUUUAUUUUUGAUUGAGAGAGAGAGAGAGAGAG